UGAGUAAGUCGGAUGGCCGCGGGCGAGGCAUUUGCCUCGCACGAGGAAAGUCCGAGCUCCACAGGGCAGGGUGCCGGGUAACACCCGGUGGAGGCGACUCCAAGGAAAGUGCCACAGAAAUGUAGACCGCCUGACGCUUUCAAAGGCGUCGGGUAAGGGUGCAACGGUGCGGUAAGAGCGCACCAGCAGCCGGGCGACCGGCUGGCUAGGUAAACCCCACCCGGAGCAAGGCAAAUAGGAGGGAGUAGGUGGCCCGCCAUUUCCCUCGGGUUAAGCCGCUAGAGGUAUCAGGCAACUGAUACCCUAGAUAGAUGGCCAUCUAAAACAGAACUCGGCUUACGGACUUGCUCACAUG
rnacentral:RNase_P_RNA from 18 species